rnacentral:pre_miRNA from 1 species
AGCCUUUCGAAUCCGCGCCGAGAUUUCGUCAAAUACCAUCCAUUAGGGCUGACCAGACUUCCAAGAUGAGUGAAGGU